ensembl:lncRNA
GCACCAGUAUGGACUCCUGUGGAGCAACUUGAACAACAGUUCUGUUAACUUUUUUUUGUUCAUGCUAGCACCUAUGGUUAUACUGGCUCAUCGUAGAAACUGUCGUCCUUCUUUCAAAAGUGACUAUGGAUCAAGAUAGUGGUUGCAGGAGGCAAUUAAGUGUAUGGUGAUUAAGGUGUUCCACGCCUGUGGCUCAAAGGGGGAGUUUGCUACUGGCCACCACACAGCAUCACCAGCACGAAGUCCUUCAGCCACGACAAGUUUGCCAGAACCUGUUCAACACCUGAAGACACCUGGGAGGGUAUAUCUUAUAAGCUCAUCAAGCAUGCAGACACGUGAGAGACCGAUGUGUGUAUUGCCAGAGGAGCGAAACAUUUUCCAGCGUGGGCCCCUACCACCCCAAGAACGUACAUCCACACCACAACACCCUGUGGAUUGCGGCCCUGGAGGAUGGAGCAAGCACAGUACUCCAAGUCACCAGAGAGGUACUCCACGCCACCAUGUAGAGGACUGCUACAUAGAUAUUCAGGACUGUCUUUGGAGAAGAUCAAGCGGCUGAGAGAAGAGAAGGUCGAGCU